GCUGACGCUGGCGGCGUGCCUAAUACAUGCACGUCGAGCGAAUGGACUAUGAGCCUGCUCCUCUGAUGCUAGCGGCGGACGGGUGAGUAACACGUGGGUAACCUACCCAUAAGACUGGGAUAACUCCGGGAAACCGGGGCUAAUACCGGAUAAUACUUUGAACUGCAUAGUUCGAAAUUGAAAGGCGGCUUCGGCUGUCACUUAUGGAUGGACCCGCGUCGCAUUAGCUAGUUGGUGAGGUAACGGCUCACCAAGGCGACGAUGCGUAGCCGACCUGAGAGGGUGAUCGGCCACACUGGGACUGAGACACGGCCCAGACUCCUACGGGAGGCAGCAGUAGGGAAUCUUCCGCAAUGGACGAAAGUCUGACGGAGCAACGCCGCGUGAGUGAUGAAGGCUUUCGGGUCGUAAAACUCUGUUGUUAGGGAAGAACAAGUGCUAGUUGAAUAAGCUGGCACCUUGACGGUACCUAACCAGAAAGCC
rnacentral:rRNA from 1 species